rnacentral:lncRNA from 1 species
GUCAAAGAAAAACACAUCUUUAAAAAUCUUCCAGAUAUUAUAUCUAAUGUAAAAAAUAUCAAUAAUUUAACUCUGAUUAAUCUGCACCCAGAAAUUAUGUUCAUCAGGGGUUAAAAAACAUUAAUUGCAGUUGUGAGGUGUCAUGUUAUUUGGGCUAUUCAUUCCAGUUUCUGACACCAGGAAUAGUUUUUGGUACUGCUUCAGCACUUUAAAAAUGACAGUGUGUGGAUAAAAAGCAGUCUGGGGUUGGGAGAUUAAAUCUGGGAAAAUACGAGAUCAACCUCUUUUAUAACAAAAAAGGUUAGUGUUUAUUAGGAAGGGAGAAAAGAACUAUACAGAUAAAGGAUAAACAUUACUAAGACCUUCAAAUUUUGUGUGUACUAAAAUGAAAAAGGGAGGCCAAAAAAACAUGCUGUUAUGUGAUUCAUGGGACAUUUGGAGAGAGAUUUUUGUAGUGUUGAGGAUGGUCAUUGUUUUUUUCUACUUUCUCCUCUUGCUAAUAUUCAGUUUCCCUAUUUCUGAUAUUGCAGUUUCCGUAUGCCUUUUUGUUUUGCAGUCCUUUUCCACUGUACACAGCUGGAUUUGUAGCAGACCCAGUUGUUGUCCUCUGCUAUGAAAAUGGUAGUCCACACAGUAGAAAUAGCAUACUGUCUAGCUGCCACAGUUUUACCAGCAUACUAAAUAACUUUCACUCCUUGAUUGUGCCUAAGAUGAUCAUCUGUUUUUAACAAAAGAAUAACUAUCUAUUUAGCUGCCAGAAAUAAUUUCUUUUUUGUCAUUAUAAUUUUUAUUAUAAAUUCUUUAAUAUUUGCUUGUUUAAAAGGUCCAUGUUUUCAUUUCUUUAAACCC